UGGAGGCACGGCAGCGGACGGCAGAGUUCAGCGAGUGCGGAGCAUAAAGAACCUUCGAGAAAUACAAGAACAUUUAGAAGAAUUGAAGUUUCAUUCUAAAAUAUCUGGAACUUUCUGAAACAAGUGACAUUAGAGACGUCAGCGAGGCUGGCGUCCUGUCUUUAAAAUAAUGAAUUUGUAAUAAAAUCCGAUAUCAGAAGUCGGAUCGCUCCUGUGAUCAGUUACUGCCGGUCUUAGUGUAUUUGUAAAUCCUGAUCCAGCUCAAGAAAAUAAUCAUCCGGAGAACUUGCGUAAUGAAGAACGCUCCUCAGUCUUUCAUGCAAAUGAUGUCAACAAUGCAGAGCGUGACCGAACGUUUGCUACUAAAAAAAAACAAGGGAUACGAUUAAAAUUACUAACAAGAUCAUAUUAAUUUUAUCAUCUUUUGAUCCCGGUGAUAGUGUGUGUGUUCGGGAUUGAUUCAAACGCAUCUUUACGGCUGUAAAUACGUACCAAAUCAGUAACUACGACAUUAGAAUUAAAGUCUUUUAAAGGAGCGUGCUAGAAAGUGUGCAGACGAUUGGUUAGUUGCAACAUCUACACAAGAGGCAUUACGUGAGACCAUAGCUAACAUUUGUUAUUAUCCUUUGAGCUAACCUCGUGUCCAUGAUGUAUUCUGAAGAGAACCAUGAGAUUCUGUAGGGAAGGCUUGUGGUACCGUGACAAGACAAUUAUACACCACAGAUCUGGAGAACGUGACCUCUGAGCUAAUCGCGUGUUACCCUUGAGCUAACCACGGGUCCUUGAUGUAUCCAUAAGAGAACCAUGAGAUUCCGUAGGGAUGCCUUGUGGAGCCGUGAGAAGACAAGUCUACACCACAGAUGUGGAGAGCGUACCUCUGAACUAAUCGCGUGUUACUCUUGAGCCAACCACAGGUCCUUGCUGUAUCCUUAAGAAUACCAUGAGAUGACGUAGGGAGGCCUUGGGAAGACUUGAGUAGAAAGGUAUUCACUCGAUCUAUAAGAACUUGCAUGAUUUUAAUAUCAAACUACUAAGACCAUUGCUUUAUUUAAAUACGACAAUAGACAUACUCUUCACAGUAAUAUUUGCAACAUGUCUGGUUAACACACGGCAGUGCCUCUACAAAAACGAUGCUGUAAUUCAAACGAAAGCAUACUCGACUCCAAAAUCCUGAUCAAAUACAUCUAUUGCGAAUAUAACUAAUUUCUGUUCGUUUUUUUGCUAACCGUGAUCAUGCGUUUGAAUCGUGUUUCCGACGAGAAAAAGAAGAUGACGCCGAAUAUCAAUUCAAUAUCGACUGGUAAAUGUACCCUAAAUUAAAAGCAAGGUUGCAGUGUUCCAGGUUUUGAAACGACUACUGAUAUAUUAACCGGAGCAGAUAAGUUAUUACGUGAUAAGAAUACAUGUGGAAAAUUUAGUAUCCUUGCCGAUGUUUUGCACAUACGAACAAGUCAAUUAUGCUUUGACAGUUUAGAUUACAAUUCGACAAUCAGUCCGUUUAAAUCGAAGUAAUGCACCAACACAUUCAAAACAGGAUGGUCGAGGCGGAGAGAAGAUACAAAGCUAGGUUUUUGAGAGACCGUGGAUGACUUCGAAAUGUGGCACAUGACCAGCUACGAAUGUGGCACAUGACCAGCUACGAUGAGACUUCACAGCAUCUGAGGGACGACACAGAAUUACUAAGCAAGCAGUUAGGUGGACGGUUCGCCUACCUAAUAGUUAUCCG